AGGUAAGCUACUAAGAGCGAAUGGUGGAUGCCUUGACUGGUAAAGGCGAUGAAGGACGUACUAGACUGCGAUAAGCUACGGGGAGCUGUCAAGAAGCUUUGAUCCGUAGAUUUCCGAAUGGGGCAACCCAAUGUAUAGAGAUAUACAUUACCUAUAUAGGAGCGAACGAGGGGAAUUGAAACAUCUUAGUACCCUCAGGAAAAGAAAUCAAUAGAGAUUGCGUCAGUAGCGGCGAGCGAAAGCGCAAGAGGGCAAACCCAGUGCUUGCACUGGGGGUUGUAGGACUGCAAUGUGCAAGAGCUGAGUUUAGCAGAACAUUCUGGAAAGUAUAGCCAUAGAGGGUGAUAGUCCCGUAUGCGAAAAACAAAGCUUAGCUAGCAGUAUCCUGAGUAGGGCGGGACACGAGGAAUCCUGUCUGAAUCCGGGUCGACCACGAUCCAACCCUAAAUACUAAUACCAGAUCGAUAGUGCACAAGUACCGUGAGGGAAAGGUGAAAAGAACUGAGGUGAUCAGAGUGAAAUAGAACCUGAAACCAUUUGCUUACAAUCAUUCAGAGCACUAUGUAGCAAUACAGUGUGAUGGACUGCCUUUUGCAUAAUGAGCCUGCGAGUUGUGGUGUCUGGCAAGGUUAAGCAAACGCGAAGCCGUAGCGAAAGCGAGUCUGAAUAGGGCGCUUAGUCAGAUGCUGCAGACCCGAAACGAAGUGAUCUAUCCAUGAGCAAGUUGAAGCUAGUGUAAGAACUAGUGGAGGACUGAACCCAUAGGCGUUGAAAAGCCCCGGGAUGACUUGUGGAUAGGGGUGAAAGGCCAAUCAAACUUCGUGAUAGCUGGUUCUCUCCGAAAUAUAUUUAGGUAUAGCGUUGUGUCGUAAUAUAAGGGGGUAGAGCACUGAAUGGGCUAGGGCAUACACCAAUGUACCAAACCCUAUCAAACUCCGAAUACCUUAUAUGUAAUCACAGCAGUCAGGCGGCGAGUGAUAAAAUCCGUCGUCAAGAGGGAAACAACCCAGACUACCAGCUAAGGUCCCUAAAUCUUACUUAAGUGGAAAACGAUGUGAAGUUACUUAAACAACCAGGAGGUUGGCUUAGAAGCAGCCAUCCUUUAAAGAAAGCGUAAUAGCUCACUGGUCUAGUGAUUUUGCGCGGAAAAUAUAACGGGGCUAAAGUAAGUACCGAAGCUGUAGACUUGCACACAACUUAGAUUAUUUAAGUUUAGAAUAUGAGAAACUAAGUUAUAUGUUUAGUUAUAUUUUUACUGAUUUUUAUAGAGUAAAGAUAGAAAUAAAACUUAGUAAAAUCAGUAAAAAUAUUCUUAGGCUAAAGUUAAGUAGUUUAAGUUGUGUGCAAGUGGUAGGAGAGCGUUCUAUUUGCGUCGAAGGUAUACCGGUAAGGAGUGCUGGAGCGAAUAGAAGUGAGCAUGCAGGCAUGAGUAGCGAUAAUUAAUGUGAGAAUCAUUAACGCCGUAAACCCAAGGUUUCCUACGCGAUGCUCGUCAUCGUAGGGUUAGUCGGGUCCUAAGUCGAGUCCGAAAGGGGUAGACGAUGGCAAAUUGGUUAAUAUUCCAAUACCAACAUUAGUGUGCGAUGGAAGGACGCUUAGGGCUAAGGGGGCUAGCGGAUGGAAGUGCUAGUCUAAGGUUGUAGGAGGUUAUACAGGCAAAUCCGUAUAACAAUACUCCGAGAACUGAAAGGCUUUUUGAAGUCUUCGGAUGGAUAGAAGAACCCCUGAUGCCGUCGAGCCAAGAAAAGUUUCUAAGUUUAGCUAAUGUUGCCCGUACCGUAAACCGACACAGGUGGGUGGGAUGAGUAUUCUAAGGCGCGUGGAAGAACUCUCUUUAAGGAACUCUGCAAAAUAGCACCGUAUCUUCGGUAUAAGGUGUGGUUAGCUUCGUACUAGGAUUUACUCCGAAAGCGAAGAAACUUACAACAAAGAGUCCCUCCCGACUGUUUACCAAAAACACAGCACUCUGCUAACUCGUAAGAGGAUGUAUAGGGUGUGACGCCUGCCCGGUGCUCGAAGGUUAAUUGAUGGGGUUAGCAUUAGCGAAGCUCUUGAUCGAAGCCCGAGUAAACGGCGGCCGUAACUAUAACGGUCCUAAGGUAGCGAAAUUCCUUGUCGGUUAAAUACCGACCUGCAUGAAUGGCGUAACGAGAUGGGAGCUGUCUCAAAGAGGGAUCCAGUGAAAUUGUAGUGGAGGUGAAAAUUCCUCCUACCCGCGGCAAGACGGAAAGACCCCGUGGACCUUUACUACAGCUUGACACUGCUACUUGGAUAAGAAUGUGCAGGAUAGGUGGGAGGCUUUGAGUAUAUGACGCCAGUUGUAUAUGAGCCAUUGUUGAGAUACCACUCUUUCUUAUUUGGGUAGCUAACCAGCUUGAGUUAUCCUCAAGUGGGACAAUGUCUGGUGGGUAGUUUGACUGGGGCGGUCGCCUCCCAAAUAAUAACGGAGGCUUACAAAGGUUGGCUCAGAACGGUUGGAAAUCGUUCGUAGAGUAUAAAGGUAUAAGCCAGCUUAACUGCAAGACAUACAAGUCAAGC
rnacentral:rRNA from 1 species